CUGGUGUCUCAGUGUCCCCAUGUCUCCCAGUGCCCCCAUGUCUCAAUGUCCCCAUGUCCCCCAGCCAGUGUCUCUAGUGUCUGUGUCCCUGGUGUCUUCAAGUGUCCCCUAUUUUCCCAUUGUCCCCAUGUGUCCUAGCCAGAGUCCCCUAGUCUCCCAGUGUCACUGGUCUCUCCGUGUUCCUAGGUCUCCCCGUGCCCCCAGGUCUCCCCGUCUUCCUAGUGUCCUAGUGACAUGGGGACCCUGGGAUACAUGGGGACACAGGGAGACAUGGAGCAUUCAGACACUGUGAUACAUAGGAUCACUGGGAGACCUGGGGACAUGACACUAGGGGACACUGGGAGACAUGGGGCGCUGAGACACUGAUACAUAGGAACACUGAGAUCUGGAGUAAUCGACACAUGGGGGCACUGAGUCAUGAGGACACUGGGAGGAAUCCAUCUAUACAGCAGAAUCAAACUAAGUAGUUUUUUGGUGAUUUUACAGCAUUUUCUCCUUGUGAUUUACAUCAUGUGAUAUCACCCAUACAUAUUUAAUUAUGCAAAUUAGUAAGGUUGGUAUGUUUUUCCAAGAAAGGUGGAAACCCUAACUACUUUUCACAUACUCUUAUUUAAGUAUGGAAACUUAAGAGGGAUGUAUGGGAACAAACCUUAUGUGGACUGGCUGACAAUGAAUAUAGUUAAAGGGACACUAUAGUCACCAGAACAACUACAGCUUAUGGAAUUUAUUCUGGUGAGUGGAAUCAUUACUGUCAGGCUUUUUGCUGUAAACACUGUCUUUUCAGAGAAAAUGCAGUAUUUACAUUACAGCAUAGUGAUAACUUCACUGGCCACUCCUUAGAUGGCUGUUAGAGAUCCUUCCUGGGUCAUGGCUGCCUAAAAUGCAUCCAAACAUUCAAUGUCUCCUCCCUCUGCAUGCAGACACUGAACUUGAUUAAUUCAAUUCAUCUCUAUAAGGAGAUGCUGAUUUGCCAGGGCUGUGUUUGAAUCAUGCUGGCUCUGACCCUGAUCUGCCUCUUUGUCAGUGUCAGCCAAUCC